UGACCACUUCAGCAAGUUGAUGGCCAG
rnacentral:piRNA from 1 species